UAUUCAAUUUUGGUGUGUGGGAGAACAAAUCUCAGCUUUUCAGUAAAACGUGUCAGUAAUUAUUGAUAGUUUUUUAUCACCACAAUUAAACUUUGUCAGAGAUUAGGUAGUGCUUAGGUUUUUACAGCUCUCUAUGUACCCUCCCACACUUAAAUUAGCAGCACAUAAGGCAACUCUGCUGUUUAAAUGGCCUCGCACUGAACAGUGCACACUUGCCUGCAGAAACUUACAAAAAUUGAUUUCUUCUUUUGUUUUUUAUAUCAUUUUAUUCAGCACUCCAAAGGAGUGAUGAGCAACGAAAAAAUCCGAGACUAUGACUCCAUCACAUCUUUCCUUGGAUCUUGGGGACCCUUUCAGAUGAGAAUUUUCUUUGCAUUGGCCAUCAGCAUCCUCCCAAAUGGAUUUACUGGCAUCUACAUUAUAUUUGUGGGCGAUACUCCACCUCACGAGUGCUACAUUCCUGACAGCGACAGCAUAAGUGAAGCAUGGAGAAAUGAGACGAUACCAAUGGAGACUGUUGACGGAGCUGCACGGCGCAGCUCAUGCAGGAGGCUUCACCUGGAAACCGUCAGAAACUAUUCACAAAGAAAUAUCAUCCCCAAUGUGGACGUGAAUGUGAGUGAAAUUCCCUGGGAGGCCUGCCAGGAUGGCUGGAUAUACAGCAGAGAGAUCUAUCAGUCAACUAUAGUUACAGAAUGGGAUUUGGUAUGUGACAAUGCAUAUAAAGGUCCUUUGACCACCUCGAUUCACUAUGUUGGUGUUCUGGUGGGAACUGUGCUAUCAGGCCAGCUGUCUGACAGGUUUGGAAGGAAGCCAAUGCUUUUCGUCAUGAUGGCUCUGCAGACUGUAGCAAUCACAGCACAGAUCUUCUCCCCAAACUGGGAGAUCUUCACCUUCAUUUUCUGUCUUGUGGGGGCCGGUGGAUACUCCAACUACACCAUUGCAUUUGUCUUGGGGUCGGAAAUUCUCAGCCCGCGGAUCCGAGUGGUUUUCUGCUCUCUUGGAGUCUUUAUGGGUUCAGCGGUGGGGUACAUGGCAAUGCCUGCCGUGGCCUAUUUCCUUCGAGACUGGCGGUCGCUGCUAAUUUCAAUGGCUGCCUCUGGUUUAAUCUACAUUCCUCUUUGGUGGUUGCUUUCAGAGUCUCCGCGCUGGCUCCUUUCUCAGGGGAAGGUAGAGGAGGCUGAGGCCAUUCUGAAAGAUGCUGCAAAGAUGAACAAAGUCCAGGUUCCAGAGCCCAUUUUUACACAGGCAGAGGUUGAAGAUUCUCUGGCAAUGAAGGAAAGGAAAAUCAACAUUAUGGUCAUUGUGAAAAGCUGCAACAUAUUAUCAAUAACAAUGGCGUGUGCCAGUUUGUGGAUGAUCAUCACCAUUAGUUACUAUGCUUUACUCCUCAACACAUCAAAUCUCAAUGGCAACCCUUACCUAAACUGCUUCCUGUCCGCUGUGACAGAGGUCCCAGCAUACAUAAUUGCUUUGUUGCUGCUCCGAUACUGCUCCAGACACAUCUGUCAGUCCUCCACACUUUUCCUGGGGGGCGUCAUGAUCCUCUGCGUGCGCCUCAUUCCAAUAGAUUUACCCGCAGUGGCUGUGCUUCUUGAAAUGCUGGGGAAGUUUGGAGUGACUGCAGCCUUCUGCGUUGUGUACUCGGUCACCUCCGAGCUUUUCCCCACUGUAAUCAGAAACACAGCCAUGGGCUGCUGCUCCAUGGCUGCACGCAUUGCCACCAUUCUCUCCCCUUUCAUCAUUUAUCUGGGUAAAUACUACAAGGCUCUACCGUACAUAGUGAUGGGUGUUCUGGCUCUCAGUGGGGCUGUCAUAACAUUCAUCCUGCCGGAAACACGCGGGAAAGUUUUACCAGAGACCAUCCCACAAAUGCAGAGGAUAUGCGGAAAACAAGGUGAAAAAGAAGACAACAUUGGAGAGAAAAUGUCCAUUUGGCAGGGAAAAGAAACAAAGUUAUAGUUAUUUGUGAUUAUUUCUGUUCUUUCUGCAUGUUAACACCUUUGCUGAUAGUCUCAUGUUGUCUCAUCCCAAUCAAGUUUUAAAUGAAUCAAUACAAUUACUGGUUAUUUGCCUUUGUUUUCAAAUGCUCACAGUACAUGUAAGCUCUUCAUUAGGUAACAUAUGAAUAUUCAUGAUGUUACCGUGGGAAGCUCAGUGAUCUUUCACUUUCAUUUUGAAUGGGACACAGAGAUCUUCUGGAAAGCACAGAAUGUAUUUGUUAUGUUCGCUGGGUCGGAACCAGCGCAAAUCAACAGCGCGAGCUACGUUUUGGACCGAAAUGAGUCGCGAGACGCGUCCGCGUCUGCAUCUGCGCGUUGGGGUUCCGAAAAAAAGCAACGGAUUUUUCGGUGCAGGGAGGACUAAAUAAAAGUGAAAGAAGAAAGCAAGAAGCCAACUUCUUUGUUCACUUCAACGAUCCUCAAGUCUGGUUUACCACCAUUACCACGAAUCGGAGCCCAGUGAUGGGGAUUACAUGUAAGAAGAAUGCCAACUGCGAAGCAUCUGAAAGCCCGGUGCUCUCCAAGUACUCCUCAUCUUCACAUAAGCAAAGAAGGAAGAAGAGGAUGUGAUGGUUAUAAGCAAGUUGGAGGAAGGCUCAAGGAGGUAUACAAAAAAUAAAUAACCACAAUGCAUACUCAGCACAAAUGGUUUGGUUCUAAAAAGCUGUGUCACAUCUGUUCUUUUUUUCUUCUACUGUGGUUUGUAUAACACACCCAAAAAGGCCUUUAUAUCUUUAAGUGUUAAAAAGUCGGUUUCAUCCAAAAGACAUAAAAGACCCAAUUUCAUUUUUGGACUUUAGCACAUUCGAAAUAUUACUUUAGAUUGACCAUAAACUAAAUUCAUGCAGUAAUGUGCCAUUAAGCAACGAGCUUAACUAAUCAUUAAUGUAUUGAUUACCUAUUUACUUUAUGACAGAUAUAUUUGGACACUUUAAUCAGAUCCAUGUGCAGUGCCUAAACAGAUUGACAUCUGCAAAGCCUUCCACAACGGCUCCUGUCCUUAGUGUCACAGUGUCAUUACUAGAUUAUCAAUAAAUAUGAAACCUGGGUUUUUAUUUGAGUUUUUGGCAUUUUAGGAUUUCUGUCCUUUAAAACCAUCAAGAAAUCUUAAAAUUAGCCCCUAAAAAUGUAACAUUUAUUCCUGCUAUAAAUGUCCUUUCUUAUGCGUUUUGUCUUGUGUUGAUUGACAAAUUUUAAAAUAAGAAAAUGAAUUCUGUUGGUCCUUCUAUUUUAUAUUGGGCUAUUCACGGCCAACAUUUCAAAUCAAGAUUUAUUUUUACAGAAAUAAUAGUACUAGCACAUUAUUUAUUUAAAUAUUUAACUUGUUUUGAUAUCAGAAUUGUCCUACCCAACCUUUUUUUUCUGGGAUUUGUUUACAUCUUUUUGUUGAUGCGUAACGACUGUAAACGGAAAAAAUGCAGUAAUUUAAAAAAGGAAAUGAAUAUAGAUUAUACUGUCAAGCGAAUGCUUUCAAGGGAAAAAGUGUAGAAAUCUGUUGAUGUGAACAGUGUUAUUUGUCAUAAAAGAUGCAAUAAAAGCUUUAAAUUUUCAAA